CCCAUUGUUUUCCCUCGUGUUUCAGGUUGUGGUCUUCACCCAGUCCGCGGGGAGUUCUGGCCGAAGCGGCCUUCGCCGUCCUCCUGAAAUCCGUGGGGCUGUUGUUGGUCGUCGACGAGGUCGUGCUGCACCCAUGGCGGAGGGUGCUAUUGGUGGCCGUCUACCCGAUGAUCAGUUAGUGCAUGGUGGUCGUCAUCCCGCUGGCUCCGCACCUGCUGGGGCUACAGCUCAGAGUUCGUCGGCUGGUGAAUUGCGCCGUCGGCGCUGAGAGAUUUGUUUAGAAAAGCGUCAUGUUGAUUUUGUUGCCGGUGAGUUGACGCGACUACAUCUGUUUAGGAAAAUGCUUCGGUGAUCUGCGAGUGCAUGCAUGCAUGCAACUGUGUAGGUUUGAUGUGACUGCGUGCAUGUCUGUGGUCCGGGCUUCCCCCGUGGAUUGCAUUAGUAUCCACUAUGUUUGUGGUCUAUUCUUUU